GACGAACGCUGGCGGCGUGCUUAACACAUGCAAGUCGAACGGAAAGGCCCUGCUCUUGUGGGGUGCUCGAGUGGCGAACGGGUGAGUAAAACGUGAGUAACCUGCCCUUGUCUUUGGGAUAACUUCAGGAAACUGGGGAUAAUACCGGAUAGGAGCUCCUGCUGCAUGGUGGGGGUUGGAAAGUUGCGGCGGUUGGGGAUGGACUCGCAGGUUAUCGGCUUGUUGGUGGAGUAGUGGCUUACCAAGGCUUGGACGGGUACCCGGCCUGAGAGGGUGACCGGCGACAUUGGCACUGAGGUAAGGCCGAGGCAGGGAAGGGAGGGAGAAGGGGGAAAGAUUGAACGAGGGGCGGAAGGCGGGUGAUGCAGCGCCGCGGGCGGGAAGACGGCGUUCGGGGUGUAAAACGCUUUCGCCAGUGACGAAGCGUGAGUGACGGUAAUGGGUAAAGAAGCACCGGCUAACUACGUG
rnacentral:rRNA from 1 species